GAAUUUUAACGUUCAUUUCAAUUAAGCGCGCUCGUUGUUCAAAUAAACGGCGCCGAUUUUUGCAGUGAGUAUUUUUCCCAGGCCUAUGUUAACAGGUGUAGAAGUUCUUAACUUUGGCCCGCAAGAUACUUUCGUGCAGUUUUUAACUUCAACCCAGACCAGACAAGGAUCUUGAUUAGCUUGUUCAGGUGUGUUUUAUCAGGGUUGGAGCUAAACUCAGCAGGAAAGUGGACACUGCUACAGUUCAAAACUUCCGGCCGGUCUGUAGCUAUUAAAACUGUGCAAAGACACAGUUGCAGUGCAGCGUUCGUUUAUGUUUACUGUGACGCAUGCGCUGGAUUAAAGUGACGAUAGCACAAGUAAAAAACUAAAAACUCAAAUGUUCUAAAGCCAAAAAUGUUUAACGUUAGGUGUGUUUAAUGCAUAGUUGGUUUAUGAAGUGUUAUUUAUGCUUUGUUUUUUUUUAUCCCCAGAUAACCAUGGUUGAUAAAUGGUCAAGUACCCAAAUCAUAAAAUGUAUGGAGAUGUUCUGGGGAGUUUGAUCACCCGCUUUCCAUUUUUGAAGUAUGGCAGCUCCUCUGGUUAUGAUACCUUGUUGGAAUGCCUUAGAAACAAAUUUAAAAAAGAAAGGAUUCCCUUGGUUAGCUCAUCGAUCGUCCAGCAAAUGAAGGAGAAGUAUGGGAUUAAAAGGAAGUGUGCUGGACAAACAGAUUCUGAGAAACUUAGUCAACAACAAGAGGCAAGUUCAGUUCAAUAAAUUUGAUGUCGAAGGCAGAUUAAAUUUGUCUUAACAUGAAAUACAUGUUGAAAUACAUGUUGACAAUUAUUUCAGAGUGCAAAAUGUAGAAGAGAACCAUUGGAUAUAUUGGCAUUUAAAGAUUCUGCUUGUCCGCAGGAGGUAUUUGGUUUAGUGAUCCUUAAGUGAUACAUCAGUUUUUAAGAUUGAUGUUUCAAUCUUAAAUAUUGUAUUCUGUGACUUUGAUUCAUAUUUACGUACUGCACAAUACUGUCUUCCUACCUCAGAUUGUGUUGGACCUGGAAGUAAUGAGUGAGAAUGAGACAAGUUUCCGGGAACACAUUAAUGCCAUCACCCUGGAGUUGCGUAAAAGCAAUCCCAGUUACUCUGAAGUCAAGAACCGGAUGAAGCGCACUCUUUUCAAAAGAGUACAGCUUAUGGACAGGCCUGCAGCUGAAGUAAUGGAGCAGUUUCCUUUUCUUGGAGUGCCACAGCUUAUGCUGCAUGAAAUGACAAUGAGGUUUUGAACAGACUUGGUGAAGAACAUGGAAACAUCUCUGAAUGAAAUGGCCCCAAACAUCAUCAGGAGUGCAAAAGAAGGAAGUAAAAAAAAACUCUACGCCAAUCUCAUUGGACUAGCAAAGGAAACCACAGAAGGUCUCGUUAGGAAUGCUGCAUUCAUUUUAUUGCCAGCACUAUUUAAAGAAAACGCCAGCUUCCUCUACUGUGUAGAUAGUGAACCCAAAGGUGCUACACCAACCAUAGUGUUUAACGGCUCUCCUGAUCCCCUCAAGGCUGAAAGCUUCAGCAUUAUAAUGGACAAUUUGAACAUCAUAAGAGAGGCAGACAUUGACAUGACACAGACUGUGGAAUGCCUAUUUGCAGUUUAUUUUCUCUUCAAUAUGCAAUACCCGGUUGACAUUAAGCACACAAUGACUUUUAUUCAAAAAUAUAUGCUUAAACUUAGACAAGAGCACGGCAAAAGAACACCAAUACCUGUACUGAAAAUGUACAGUCAACUUGUGUAAAUUGUAGAGCUAUUUAAUAGUUGUUUUAAUUUUUCAUGUAUUGAUUUUUAUCUGCACUGUCAAAUAUCAAAAAUGAU